AAAAAUCCGUCCCGCAUGGGUCCGAGGUGCGAUGAUGGGGGCCUUAUGGCCCGAUAUCCGGUGAUCCCGGCUGCCGAGAAAAGCUUCGGCGUCAGGCUCAAAGCCGCCCGUACCCCAAACCGACACUGGUGGUCAGGUAGAGAAUACCAAAGCGAUCGAGCGAAUCCUGGUCAAGGAACUCGGCAAAUCACUCCCGUUCCUUCGGUUUAAGGGAGACCCCCGAUGGUGAACACACUUGCUGUGGGAGCUUUUGGGGGUGGCACAGACCAGGGGGUAGCGACUGUUUACCAAAAACACAGGUGCAUGCGAAGGCGCAAGCCGCUGUAUAUGCACUGACGCCUGCCCGGUGCCGGAAGGUUAAGAGGAUCCGUCAGCCUUCGGGUGAAGCGGUGAAUUCAAGCCCCGGUAAACGGCGGUGGUAACUAUAACCAUCCUAAGGUAGCGAAAUUCCUUGUCGGGUAAGUUCCGACCUGCACGAAUGGCGUAACGACUUCCCCACUGUCUCGACCAGGAGCUCGGCGAAAUUGCAGUACGAGUAAAGAUGCUCGUUAAGCGCAGAAGGACGAAAAGACCCCGGGACCUUUACUAUACCUUGGUAUUGGCAUUCGGUGUGGAUUGUGUAGCAUAGGCGGGAGGCCGAGAGGCGCGGUCGCCAGAUCGCGCGGAGCCGUAAGGUGAAAUACCGCUCUGUUCGCAUUGGAUGUCUAACCUCGAACAGUCAUCCUGUUCAGGGACAGUGCCUGGCGGGUAGUUUAACUGGGGCGGUUGCCUCCCAAAGAGUAACGGAGGCGCCCAAAGGUCCGCUCAGCCCGGUUGGCAAUCGGGUGGCGAGUGCAAGUGCACAAGCGGGCUUGACUGCGAGGACGACGGUCCGAGCAGGGACGAAAGUCGGGACUAGUGAUCCGGUGCCGGUGUACGGACGCGGCAUCGCUCAACGGAUAAAAGGUACCCCGGGGAUAACAGGCUGAUCAUUCCCAAGAGUCCAUAUCGACGGGAUGGUUUGGCACCUCGAUGUCGGCUCGUCGCAUCCUGGGGCUGGAGCAGGUCCCAAGGGUUCGGCUGUUCGCCGAUUAAAGCGGCACGCGAGCUGGGUUCAGAACGUCGUGAGACAGUUUGGUCUCUAUCCUCUGCGCUCGUUGGAAUGCUGAGGAGGCCUGCCCAUAGUACGAGAGGACCUGGGUGGACGAACCUCUGGUAUGCCGGUUGUCACGCCAGUGGCACGGCCGGUUGGCUACGUUCGGAAGGGAUAACCGCUGAAAGCAUCUAAGCGGGAAGACUGCUCCAAGAUAAGCAUUCCGUGGAACCUUCGAGUUCCUGUAGUCCCCAUGCAGAACACGUGGUCGAUAGGCCGGACGUGGAAGCCCCGCGAGGGGUGGAGCCGACCGGUACUAACGGACGAAAGCC
rnacentral:rRNA from 1 species